rnacentral:tRNA from 1 species
GGUGGGGUGGCAGAGUGGUCGAAUGCGACGGACUUGAAAUCCGUUAGAGGCGUCAGCCUCUCAGGGGUUCGAAUCCCCUCCCCACCG